CUCUGGAUAUGUUUCGCAAUAGUUUCUUUUACCCACUUCCUCUGUCAGAGCUACAAGAAGAUCUUUGUUAGCUCUUCACUGUAAAAGCAUGGUUGGGUUCGUGAUGGUAAAAAAGCAAAGUGUGGAGGUCCCUUUAAGGCUGCAAUCCCCAGGAGUUUCUCACUCUCAAACUAGUCUCAAGGCUCCAGCAGUUCAUCAAAAUUACCAUUUAAGAAAUCCUACCAGUUUAUUGCUUCCAUGACUUCUGCUUCAGGAUGGGAAUAAUGACUUCCAUGAUUUUUUCAUAUCAGAGCUGAAACCUGUUCUCAAAUAUGCUUUUCUGCCACUUUCUCUCCUUCUGGGACUGCCAUUACACGUAUAUUGUGAGGAAAAAAAAAGAACCAUUUUUGAACUUCAGACAGAAACCAUGAAUGCUGGCCUCUCCGGUAUUUCUUCUAUCAAGAAGAACAGUUUCUGAGGCAAGUCUUGCUGCCUUAAUCAUUGUUAGGGCUCCACAAAGCAAAUGCUCUUCCAGUUGACUGGGUGAAUAGGCUCUGUCUUCUCCUCAUUAGAGCGUCAUGUGUGGUUUACUCCUCGACAACACAACCUCCCAACUGCUGGAAAGGUUCCUAUCAAGUCCUAGUCGAUAAAAAUGAAAUAAUUAAGGAUGGUACUGCACAUUGCAAGCUUGGGCAGAAUUUAUCCCAUGGAACCACUCCUGGGCCUCAUGAAGGCUUGCAAAAUUUGGGCUGUGUUAGCAAAGUUUGUCCUCUUCACACAGCACCGUUUCUUCCCCGCAUGAAGUAUUUCCAUAUGCUCUCAUUCACUCUCCCUUGUCUCAAAAGCCUUCUUUCCAGAGUGAAACUAAUGACCUUUGGCACAUGUGAAUCACUGAAGCUUUUAAACUAGUGAUAAAGUCUGAGUGGAAGGACUGGCUCCACCUUCUUGGCCUUGGAGAGGAGCACUCACCCUGCUGGGGAUGAGGGCAGUGUAGGUGGGAGGGCGUGGGUUUCUUCUGGAGCAUCAUCCUCACAGGUUAGGACCCCACGGUACACUGAGAACCUUUCUAUUAGCUUCUAGUGGUUCUACAACAUAGUAAUUUCUUUAGGCUCUUCAAAUAGUUUUUAUCCUUGGCCUACAGUGAAAUGAGGGG
rnacentral:lncRNA from 1 species